UCACAUACGCCCUUCGUUUGAGAACUCCAAACACCAUCGCCGCACAUACGCCCUUCGUCUUAUUCGAUUCCCACACGCCGCCGCACGCCGUCGCCGCUCGCCGUCGCCGUCCAGCCACAUCCUCUCUUCUCCGAUCUUCUCCUCUCGCUACCUAACGCAGUCCAACGCCGCACCCCGUCGCGCCAUCCAGAUCUAACGCCUCCAGCCCCGUCGUCGUCUCCGUCCAGCCCUCCAGCCGCACCGUCGUCAAACUUUAUUAACAUAUCAAUGUCAAGCAUUACAUAAAAAAGUGGUUUGGUGAAGGAGAGAAAUAUGUCAAAGCAGUCUUCACUUUAGAGUAAAAUUGCUCCUAGUGUUGUUUUUGUCGCUGAGGGUAUAGGUCGCAUAUUAUACAUGGAACUGAGAAGGAGAUUGCAUAAUGUGGGUAUUACGACGGUGUUUUGUUGGGGAGAUAAGGAGUGUCCGAAGGAUUUUGAACUGCAGUAAGGCUUGGUUAUUUAAAUUUUGAGAUUUAAUGUUUCUCAUACCCUUUCAUUAUUCUAGUUGCAAUGGACCCAAAUCAAUUCCCAUAUCAGUAGAUAUGUGUUUAUAUUUGAUUACAAUAUGAAUGCUCUUAAACAAUAACUCUUCUUGACUAGGAGUAUAUAUUGAUGGCUAAUAGAAUAAAGUUGAGUCCUCAUUUAAGUUUUAGUGAGUAUG